UGCAAGUCGAACGGACUUGUGGGAGCUUGCUCCUGCAAGUUAGUGGCGAACGGGUGAGUAACGCGUGAGUAACCUGCCUUUCGGAGGGGGACAACAGCUGGAAACGGCUGCUAAUACCGCAUAAAGUAUACUGGUGGCAUCACCGGAAUACCAAAGAUUUAUCGCCGAAAGAUGGACUCGCGUCUGAUUAGCUAGUUGGGAGGGUAAUGGCCUACCAAGGCAACGAUCAGUAGCCGGACUGAGAGGUUGAACGGCCACAUUGGGACUGAGAUACGGCCCAGACUCCUACGGGAGGCAGCAGUGGGGAAUAUUGGUCAAUGGGGGAAACCCUGAACCAGCAACGCCGCGUGAAGGAAGAAGGCUUUCGGGUUGUAAACUUCUUUGACGAGGGACGAAAAAAAUGACGGUACCUCGAAAACAAGCUCCGGCUAACUACGUGCCAGCAGCCCGCGGUAAUACGUAGGGAGCAAGCGUUGUCCGGAUUUACUGGGUGUAAAGGGCGCGUAGGCGGGAUCGCAAGUCUGAUGUGAAAGGCUGGGGCUUAACCCCAGAGCUGCAUUGGAAACUGCGGUUCUUGAGUGAUGGAGAGGCAGGCGGAAUUCCUAUGUA
rnacentral:rRNA from 2 species